GACCCCAUCGUCUAGCCUGGCCUAGGACACCGCUCUUUCAAGGCGGCAACGCGGGUUCGAAUCCCGCUGGGGUCACCA
rnacentral:tRNA from 1 species